UACGGAGGGUGCAAGCGUAUCCGGAUUCACUGGGUUUAAAGGGAGCGUAGGUGGGUUGGUAAGUCAGUGGUGAAAUCCCCGAGCUUAACUUGGGAACUGCCAUUGAUACUAUCAGUCUUGAAUACUGUGGAGGUUAGCGGAAUAUGUCAUGUAGCGGUGAAAUGCUUAGAUAUGACAUAGAACACCAAUUGCGUAGGCAGCUUACUACACGAUCAUUGACGCUGAGGCACGAAAGCGUGGGGAGCAA
rnacentral:rRNA from 1 species